GCCUGGGUGGCUCAGUGGUUGAGCGUCUGCCUUUGGCUCAGGUUGUGGUCCUGGGAUCUAGUCCCAAUUCAGGCU
rnacentral:tRNA from 1 species